CUUUGCCCAUACCUAAUUUAUAAUAAUGCUAAAUUGAUUUCAAUGAGGUAACACAUAAAGUGGGCAAAGUGUAGGACUGUAUUAUUAUAUCUCUAUUGUAAUACCUAAGGGAGAAUGUUUUCAUGAAAUUAAGAAUUGGCGGACUAGUUUAAAAAGCUUGAAGUGUUUGGAGGAGAAGCAAUUUUAUUUUUGCUCAUUUUGCUCUGAAGCAGAGGUACAAGUGUAAGUCAGUGCUCUUGUACUGGCUUCAAUCUGUGUGUGGCCUUCUCUUGAGGAGCAAGUUUGCAGUAUCAAUGUGACUGUCCAUCAUCUCUGAGUCUCUACAUAAGUGAAGUGAUCUCUUCAACAUGUCUCUACAUCUCAAGAAGUGCUACUCCACCUCUAAACCUUGCAGCUGCAAAUGUCCACAAAAGCUCAAUAAUUGCUCUUAUUCGAUUCGAUUCUUAUAUACGCCCAGCCACAAAUAGAUAGUGUUCAUCACAACACGAAAUUCGAAACCGAACGAUCAACAACAACAAAAAGCACUCAGCAGUCAUCUCAUUUAUAUCAGACAUUAUUCUGUUAGAGAGGGGCCCCUCACAGUAGUCAGUAUCUUUAUUCAUUUUUGUGACAGCAGUAUAUCACAACAAACGGCAGUAUCUGCUCUUGAGCACUGACUAAUUAAAUGAUCUGACAACACGAGACCACUGGGUGGAAUAUUGAAGUCAAGUCUAUCCACUACUGAACUAUUGUGAACUAAUGAAGUCUAUCUGAACUAUAUGAAGUACUGAAGUCUAUCCACUACUUAUGAAGUCAAGUCUGGAACAUUUCUACUAACAUCACUGACACUGACACUGGCUAUCAACACUGCAGAUGGUGGUACUCACGCACAGACUGGUUGUGGUCUGAUAGUUAUGACGAGCCUUAUACGUACUGUAUAUCAAGCCUUUAAUCGUGUCUAUACUAAUGUCUACCCCCUAAUAAUCUAUUUCUCGCACUGCAUAGUUCUUGCUCUGGGGGACCAACUGGCAGAUCUGACACACUGCACUGCAGAUGGUGACAUUUCAAGAAUCUACAUGAUUAUUAUAAUUAUGGGUUGUAGUUUGGCAUUAGAUAGUUAUCAAGCAAGCCUGGUAUAUUAGCAUGUAUGAGUACUAUCAGGCACUCCUGGUACUGUAUUGAUGAGUCCUAAUCUAUUUCUUACACUACAUGGUUCUUGCUCUGGAGGGGACCAACUGGCGGAAUUUGUAUAGAAAAGACUCUUUUAUGUCCGACACACUGGAUACUGGCAGCAUAUCGAGAACCUAUAUAUCGGUUGUGGUCUAACGAUUAAUAUAUUGAGCCUUACACCAUUCUAUCAAGCCUUGUGUAUAUUCGUACAUGUAUGAUUACUACUGAUGUGUCCUAUACCCAACAACCAACUGCUUUACUAUAGUCUGUCUCUUUCAAACCUUGCAUCCCUGUAGAACCACUCACCAGCUGCAUGUAUUGUGUGCUUCAGACGUACCUAUAGUAUACUUCCUAUAAUCCUAUUCUAACCAAAUUCUCCCACUACAUGGUUCUAGCUCUGGAGGACCAACCGGCAGAAUUUCUAGAAAGACUCGUUUAUUCGACACGCUGGAAGAACUACUUGUGGCAUUUCACUAUCAAGAAUCUACAUGUCGCUUGUGGUGGUCUGACAAUUAUUCUAAAUAAUAAUUAUUCUUAUUUGAGCCUUAUACAGUAACAAGCCUUGUGUGUUACAUGACAUGAGUACCUAACCCCAUGCAUGCAUGUACCCUCUAAUAAUCUAUUUCUCCCACUACAUGGUUCUAGCUCUGGAUGACACAACUGGCGGAACUUCUAUAAAAGACUCGUUUAUAUCCGACACUGGAUCGACAGCAUUUCAAACAAGAAUCUACAUAUCGGUUGUGGUCUAACAAGUUUAAAAUAAUAUUGAGCCUUAUACACAGCUAGUUACGUAGCAAGCCUUGUGUACAUGUGUGUGCUCUGUGUCCUAACCUCUACCCCUGGUGUCAUACAUGCAUUAUAGAGUUCUAGCUGGCUCUUGGGGACCAACUGGCAGAAUCUCUAGAAAGAACUCGUUUUUAUUCGACACACUGGCAUUUCACUAUCAAGAAUCUACAUAAUUAUAUCGGUUAUGGUCUGACAAUUAUUCUUAUUUGAGCCUUAUACAGUAACAAGCCUUGUGUGUUACAUGACAUGAGUACCUAACCCCAUGCAUGCAUGUACCCCCUAAUAAUCUAUUUCUCCCACUACAUGGUUCUAGCUCUGGAUGACAACUGGCGGAAUUUCUAUAUAGAGAAAAAACUCCAUAUUACAUCUGACAGUAGAGGGACUGCUGGUGACAUCUACGUAUCGGUUGUGGUGGUCUGAUAAUUAAUUCUAAAUAAUUAUAAGCUUUUAUAUAUAAUUAUACAGUUCAAGCCUUGUGUAGUGUAAUUCCAUGUAUGAGGUAGUACUACGUAUGUGUCCUAACCCUACCCUUCACACUACAUGGUUCUGGCUCCGGGGGACCUACUGCACUGGAGGGAGUAUCCACCACGUCACAUACUGAAGUCAAGCAUGGAACAUAUAUCUACUGAUGUACAUCACCAAAUCCCACAAACACUGAUGGAAUAAGCAACAAUGUCCUCCUCCUCAACCACGACUAUAUAGCUGCUGCAAUGAACCAUCAUACAUAACUCAUCACAAUCAUACUUUUGGGGCGCCCCAUCAUUUUUCAUUUCCUUUUCGUUUGUCAUACUGUAAAUGAAAAAUGAACUCGAUCUACUGGUUCUCUGGAGGGGGAGUGGUCAGACCACACCUACUACAACUGUGGCCACACCCACAUGAUGGCCACACCCUCAUGUUAGGCAACAGCAACUCUUACAUGAGAAUCUCCAUUGGAUAGCAAAUUCUAACCACCUGGAUGUAACUAAUUAGUCUCGUGGCCAGACUACCUUCUAAUAACCUGGACUGGGACAGCCUCUAGAUAUCCCAGAUGGUCCCAUGGGCGGAUGGGUGGGGGGCCAGCGAUGCAGUGCCACAUACUCGCGACGGUGCUGGCUGUCACACUGCAUGGAGGGAGGACUCUCUCUCUGCAUGGAGGGAGGACUAUCUCUCUGCAUGGAGGGAGGACUCUCUCUCUCUCUCUCUGGUGUGCAAGAGCACUGCAAACUGAACAAUAAUUAUGAUAAUGAACAUACAAACAUUAUUGAACAUUAAUUUUACAAUGGUUGGUGUAAUGAAAAUGAAAAGACACUUUUAAGUGUUACUGUGUCGACCUUUACCAAA